CCCUUAGACACUCUAGGCGGCACGCGCGCUACAAUGGGUGGAAGAACGUGUUACUGCCUCCGAAAGGAGGGGUGAAUCACGAAUUCUUGCCCGUGAAUGGGAUAGUUUGUUGCAAUUUUCGGACUUGAACUAGGAAUCCCUUGUAAACAUGCUCAAGAAUAGCGUGUUGAAUACGUCCCUGCCGUUUGUACACACCGCCCGUCGUUUCUUCCGACUGAUACUCAUUGUGAGUUGCAAGGACCCUUUAUUGGGAAAUUGCUGCAAAUGCUUUGGAUUGGAGGAAGAAAAAGUCGUAACA
rnacentral:rRNA from 1 species